GGGGGAGAGGGUGAAUUGAUUUCAAAUAAAAAUGUUUUCUUUUACCGUCUUUUUGAAAUCUUUAGAAUGAUCUUUAAAGCAUAACACAAUAAUAAGAACAAUGCAAUAAAAGAGUUUAAAGGAUAGAAAACAAACACAGCGUUUUAUAUUGGUUCGGCCUCAAUACCUACAUCUAGUAUCCUUUCAAUCAACCUUAGAGUGAAAGACCUUCUGCCAUAAAGAUUUGAGUUUUUACAACAAGGUUUAAAGAUACCAACUCUCAAAUGAAAU
rnacentral:lncRNA from 1 species